GACACAACAAACCACUCCCUCUGGGCAGGACAUCAUGUCGGGAUACUGCAAAAACAGAUAAAACCAGAUAUGAUUAAAAGAAAAAAGGGAUGGUGGGAUGGACGAAUGUCUCUUCUGUAAAACUAGUUUGCAACAGGCUGAUGCAACAAGCUGAAAACAUGGCAGUGAGGGGCUACAAGGAGAAACUGGGUUCAAAGAAGAGCUGUUUUUGUCGGGGCUGAACAAAAACAAGGUGAAGGCGUGGACGCUACCUGGUGUCAGAGGAGUGCAGAGAGUUGGACAGGACAGAGGACGUGUUGAUGACCUCAUCCUCCACGUGAUGGUUCUGC